rnacentral:rRNA from 1 species
CCAAUAGCGUAUAUUAAAGUUGUUGCAGUUAAAAAGCUCGUAGUUGAAUUUCGGGAUCAAUAUGUUGGUCGUGCCUUGGUACGUACUAGCUUAUUGAUUUCUUCCUUCUGACGAACCAUGAUGUCAUUAAUUUGGUGUCAUGGGGAAUCAGGACUGUUACUUUGAAAAAAUUAGAGUGUUUAAAGCAGGCUCACGCUUGAAUACAUUAGCAUGGAAUAAUGAAAUAGGACGUUUGAUUCUAUUUUGUUGGUUUCUAGGAUCGACGUAAUGAUUAAUAGGGAUAGUUGGGGGCAUUAGUAUUCAAUUGUCAGAGGUGAAAUUCUCGGAUUUAUUGAAGACUACCUACUGCGAAAGCAUUUGCCAAGGAUGUUUUCAUUAAUCAAGAACGAAAGUUAGGGGAUCGAAGACGAACAGAUACCGUCGUAGUCUUAACCAUAAACUAUGCCGACUAGGGAUCGGAUGAUGUUAAUUUUUUAAUGACUCAUUCGGCGCCUUACG